rnacentral:rRNA from 1 species
GAUGAACGCUGGCGGCAUGCCUAACACAUGCAAGUCGAUCGGUAAGGCUCUUCGGAGUACACGAGAGGCGGACGGCUGAGUAACGCGUAGGAACACACCCUGCAGUGAGGGAUAAGACACCGAAAGUCGGUCUAAUACCGCAUACGGUCUUCGGAUUAAAGCAUUUAUGCGCUGAAGGAGUGGACUGCGUCUUGUUAGAUAGUUGGUGAGGUAAUGGCUCACCAAGUCGAUGAUGUGUAGCUGGUCUGAGAGGAUGAUCAGCCAGACUGGAACUGAGACACGGUCCAGACUCCUACGGGAGGCAGCAGUGAGGAAUAUUGCACAAUGAGCGAAAGCUUGAUGGAGCAAUGCCGCGUGCAGGAUGAAGGCCCUCGGGUUGUAAACUGCUUUUAUAAGAGAAGAUUAUGACGGUAACUUAUGAAUAAGGGACGGCUAACUACGUG